rnacentral:hammerhead_ribozyme from 1 species
AUACUGCUGACGAGUCCCAAACAGGACGCAACAGCUGUCCGGUGC